UGUGCGGGCUGCCUUUGCGAUGGGAAGAGCAGUUGAGGUGCCCCAGGUGAUGACGGCUGCUGCAUUGGAUGUUCGAAUUGGGACGGAACAGAUGAUAAUCAAGAGGAACCUGGCAGUGCAGGAUCGUCCCAGUUAGCUGACUCGUUUUGAGCUUUUUCUGCCAGGGAUGGCUUCAGGCCUUUGGCCCUCUGAAAGUUAAGUUGAGGGGGUUGUGUUUUGGAGUUGGGAAGAAGGCAGAAUGUUGAGAAUGGCAGAGAAGGGAUUUAGCACGUGGUAGAGGGCUGUGCUGGAAGAGUAACCUUUUGUGCAGGUAUAGGGAGGGGUUCAACCCUCUGCGCAGAGCUAGCGUGUGCCAGGCAGGGUAGUUACAGCCUGUAUCUGUUGUCGUUUAGUCUAUGUAGUCUGUUUGCCAUGUACAAAGUCUUCCACAGGUCUUGAUGUCAUCUUUGUGCUUAAGGCACGUGCCACGUGCCUCGGGCAUCAUCUCUAGGGUCUUGAAUGUCUGUUCUUGGUAAGGUGCCAAUCGGGCACUGCUUUUCUUGCAUCGCUAUCUUAAAGCUUGGAUCGGUCUUGCGUUUUGGAAAUUUCUGGUCAGUUGUCUAUUGCACAGUCAUUGCAGGACAUGUCAGCAUCCUCAAUGAUUAUUCAUCCAUUUUCCUAAAGCCCUGUUUUGGGACUUCUUCCACGCAUCCUCUAUUUUAGGCCUUUAAGCAGG